rnacentral:rRNA from 1 species
UAUUUGAUUUUCUUCGGAAAUGAAGAUUUUGUGACUGAGUGGCGGACGGGUGAGUAACGCGUGGGUAACCUGCCUCAUACAGGGGGAUAACAGUUGGAAACGACUGCUAAUACCGCAUAAGACCACAGCACUGCAUGGUGCAGGGGUAAAAACUCCGGUGGUAUGAGAUGGACCCGCGUCUGAUUAGUUAGUUGGUGGGGUAACGGCCUACCAAGCCGACGAUCAGUAGCCGACCUGAGAGGGUGACCGGCCACAUUGGGACUGAGACACGGCCCAAACUCC